GAAUUCGCCCUUAGAGUUUGAUCCUGGCUCAGGACGAACGCUGGCGGCGCGCCUAACACAUGCAAGUCGAACGAGAGAUGAGGAGCUUGCUCUUCAAAUCGAGUGGCGAACGGGUGAGUAACGCGUGAGGAACCUGCCUCAAAGAGGGGGACAACAGUUGGAAACGACUGCUAAUACCGCAUAAGCCCACGGCUCGGCAUCGAGCAGAGGGAAAAGGAGCAAUCCGCUUUGAGGUGGCCUCGCGUCCGAUUAGCUAGUUGGUGAGGUAACGGCCCACCAAGGCGACGAUCGGUAGCCGGACUGAGAGGUUGAACGGCCACAUUGGGACUGAGACACGGCCCAGACUCCUACGGGAGGCAGCAGUGGGGAAUAUUGCACAAUGGGGGAAACCCUGAUGCAGCGACGCCGCGUGGAGGAAGAAGGUCUUCGGAUUGUAAACUCCUGUUGUUGAGGAAGAUAAUGACGGUACUCAACAAGGAAGUGACGGCUAACUACGUGCCAGCAGCCGCGGUAAAACGUAGGUCACAAGCGUUGUCCGGAACUACUGGGUGUAAAGGGAGCGCAGGCGGGAGAACAAGUUGGAAGUGAAAUCCAUGGGCUCAACCCAUGAACUGCUUUCAAAACUGUUUUUCUUGAGUAGUGCAGAGGUAGGCGGAAUUCCCGGUGUAGCGGUGGAAUGCGUAGAUAUCGGGAGGAACACCAGUGGCGAAGGCGGCCUACUGGGCACCAACUGACGCUGAGGCUCGAAAGUGUGGGUAGCAAACAGGAUUAGAUACCCUGGUAGUCCACACCGUAAACGAUGAUUACUAGGUGUUGGAGGAUUGACCCCUUCAGUGCCGCAGUUAACACAAUAAGUAAUCCACCUGGGGAGUACGACCGCAAGGUUGAAACUCAAAGGAAUUGACGGGGGCCCGCACAAGCAGUGGAGUAUGUGGUUUAAUUCGACGCAACGCGAAGAACCUUACCAAGUCUUGACAUCCCUUGACGAACAUAGAAAUAUGUUUUCUCUUCGGAGCAAGGAGACAGGUGGUGCAUGGUUGUCGUCAGCUCGUGUCGUGAGAUGUUGGGUUAAGUCCCGCAACGAGCGCAACCCUUAUGGUCAGUUACUACGCAAGAGGACUCUGGCCAGACUGCCGUUGACAAAACGGAGGAAGGUGGGGAUGACGUCAAAUCAUCAUGCCCUUUAUGACUUGGGCUACACACGUACUACAAUGGCGUUAAACAAAGAGAAGCAAGACCGCGAGGUGGAGCAAAACUCAGAAACAACGUCCCAGUUCGGACUGCAGGCUGCAACUCGCCUGCACGAAGUCGGAAUUGCUAGUAAUCGUGGAUCAGCAUGCCACGGUGAAUACGUUCCCGGGCCUUGCACACACCGCCCGUCA
rnacentral:rRNA from 1 species